UUGCUUGAGUCCAGGAGUUUGAGACCAGCCUGGGCAACAUAGUGAGACCCUGUCUCUACAAAAAGCAAAAAACUUACCAGGGGCCGGGCUCAGUGUCUCACACCUGUAAUCCCAGCACUUUGCAGGGCCAAAGUGGGUGGAUCACCUGAGGUAAGGAGUUCGAGACCAGCCUGGCGCACAUGGUGAAACCCCAUCUCUACCAGAAAUACAAAAAAUUAGCCGGGUGUGGUGGCGCACGCCUAUAGUCCCAGCCACUUGGGAGGCUGAAGUGGGAGGAUUGCUUGAGGCUGGGAGGCGGAGGUUGCAGUGAGCCAAGAUCGCAUGCCACUGCACUCCAACCUGGGUUACAAAGUGAGACCCCUCCUUUAAAAAAAAAAAAAGAAUAAAGGGCCGCCAGAAGUUGUCCCUUAGCAGACUCCUGAAGUUUAGGGUUUGGAAACUUUGGCAUCAAGGUGAGUCCAAAAAUAAAAAGGAAUCAGAGA
rnacentral:lncRNA from 1 species